UUCGGGUCUAGUGGCGCACGGGUGCGUAACGCGUGGGAAUCUGUCCCUUUGCUUCGGAAAUAACAGUUAGGAAUGACUGCUAAUACCGGAUGAUGUCUUCGGACCAAGAUUUAUCGGACAAAGGAUGACGCCCGCGUAGGAUUAGGUAGUUGGUGGGGUAAAGGCCUACCAAGCCGACGAUCCUUAGCUGGUCUGAGAGGAUGAUCAGCCACACUGGGACUGAGACACGGCCCAGACUCCUACGGGAGGCAGCAGGUGGGGAAUAUUGGACAAUGGGCGCAAGCCUGAUCCAGCAAUGCCGCGUGAGUGAUGAAGGCCUUCGGGUCGUAAAGCUCUUUACCAGGGAUGAUAAUGACAGUACCUGGAGAAUAAGCUCCGGCUAACUCCGUG
rnacentral:rRNA from 1 species